AGAGUUUGAUCCUGGCUCAGGAUGAACGCUAGCGGCAGGCUUAAUACAUGCAAGUCGAGGGGCAGCGCGGGUAGCAAUACCUGGCGGCGACCGGCAAACGGGUGAGGAACAUGUACGCAACCUUCCUUUAACUGGAGGAUAGCCCCUCGAAAGAGGGAUUAAUACUCCGUAACAUCCCGACACAGCAUUGUGACGGGAUAUAGCUACGGCGGUUAAAGAUGGGCGUGCACCUGAUUAGAUAGUUGGCGGGGUAACGGCCCACCAAGUCUGCGAUCAGUAACUGGUGUGAGAGCACGACCAGUCACACGGGCACUGAGACACGGGUCCGACUCCUACGGGAGGCAGCAGUAAGGAAUAUUGGUCAAUGGGCGCAAGCCUGAACCAGCCAUCCCGCGUGCAGGAUGAAGGCCCUAUGGGUCGUAAACUGCUUUUAUACACCAAGAAAAACAUCCACGUUGGAUGCUCGACGGUAGUGUAUGAAUAAGCAUCGGCUAACUCCGUGCCAGCAGCCGCGGUAAUACGGAGGAUGCAAGCGUUAUCCGGAUUCAUUGGGUUUAAAGGGUGCGUAGGCGGCUUUUUAAGUCAGUGGUGAAAUCUUGCCGCUUAACGGUAAAAUUGCCAUUGAUACUGAAGAGCUUGAGUACAUUUGAGGUAAGCGGAAUGUGUAGUGUAGCGGUGAAAUGCUUAGAUAUUACACAGAACACCAAUUGCGAAGCAGCUUACUAAACUGUUACUGACGCUGAUGCACGAAAGCGUGGGGAGCGAACAGGAUUAGAUACUCUGGUAGUCCACGCCGUAAACGAUGCUCACUCGCUGUUUGCGAUACACAGCAAGCGGCCAAGCGAAAGCAUUAAGUGAGCCACCUGGGGAGUACGAUCGCAAGGUUGAAACUCAAAGGAAUUGACGGGGGCCCGCACAAGCGGAGGAACAUGUGGUUUAAUUUGAUGAUACGCGAGGAACCUUACCUGGGCUAAAUGUAGAACGACAGAUUGUGAAAGCAGUCCUUCUUCGGACGGUCUACAAGGUGCUGCAUGGUUGUCGUCAGCUCGUGCCGUGAGGUGUCGGGUUAAGUCCCAUAACGAGCGCAACCCUUAUCGUUAGUUGCCAGCGGGUUAAGCCGGGGACUCUAGCGAGACUGCCACCGUAAGGUGUGAGGAAGGUGGGGAUGACGUCAAAUCAGCACGGCCCUUAUGUCCAAGGCUACACACGUGUUACAAUGGCCGAUACAAAGGCAGCUACCAGGUGACUGGAUGCUAAUCUCCAAAGUCGGUCUCAGUUCGGAUCGAAGUCUGCAACCCGACUUCGUGAAGCUGGAUUCGCUAGUAAUCGCAUAUCAGCCAUGAUGCGGUGAAUACGUUCCCGGGCCUUGUACACACCGCCCGUCAAACAAUGGAAGCUGGGGGUACCUGAAGUCUGUAACCGCAAGGAGCGGCCUAGGGUAAAACUAGUAACUGGUGUUAAGUCGUAACAAGGUAACC
rnacentral:rRNA from 1 species